rnacentral:sRNA from 1 species
AAGAAGUUAAUCUAUUUAUGUCAACAUCUGAUCGAUAGACUUGACACAUGGCACAAUCUUAUGAGUUACUCAUUUUCAAAAUCGUACUUUUUAUAAUAAGAUUUGAGAAAGAAAAACAAAUAAAUUAGAUAAUAAGAUAAAAAUAUGAUUGAAAUUAAUUAGAUAAUAUUUGAUAGAUAUCUUAUAAAAAUAGCUGCAUGGAGUAUAAAGAAAAUCUAAAAUGU